UAAACUAUGCUAUACAGCCGAAAUCUUAAAAUUUGUCCUCGGCAAAUGGUAUCGAACUCUAAUUAUUACAUAAUUAUUCAUCAUUCGCCCCCACUUCAAAAAUUCAUCAAUAUGCACAGCGAACAGUCGGAGGGCAACGAUAUCUAUUUACUCAAAAGAUCCAUUAUUAAAACUAUCGUCCAUUUGAACUGCAGAACACUACAUCUUGGAUAGUGAAUACUGGAUGAGGACAAGGAACGGUUUUAAAAAAAGGAUACAUUUUAGAUUCAAGUGACACAAGUUUCAAGAUGAUUCAUACCUUCAUGAUGGUCACCCGGCCAAACCGGCAAUUUUUUCUGUAAUAGCUGCGAAUAAAUUAAGUUACUGAAUCAUCGCUCCGUAUACAAGAAAAACUUCGAGUGAACAGCUGUUAUUAAAAACACAUGAUAGCGUAGUGAAUCUCAUUGGCUUAUUUACGGCCCAACGUCAUCCAGCUGGGUUUAAUCAACAAAAUAACAGUUUUCACUGAAAGAAAAUUUAUCAGUUUUUUACAACUCAUUGUAGUUUUUUACAACAUGGUUAGCACUAGUCGUUUCAAUUACGCUAUUUUAGGCAUUGCCACCGUGUGGUCCGUGCUUAUUUUCAUUCUUUACUCGAACAGUUCUGCAUCAUGUUCGGCCGAAACAGAGAGGUUGAAAAUGGCUGUGGAUAGGAAAGACAGAUUUCUCGAGUUGCUUCGCGAUCAAAAUGAUGAACUUAAAGGGAAAGUCUCCAAACUACAAGAAGAAUUACAGAAAUAUGAAGCCGAGAAAAGCGCACAAGAGAAUUUGUAUCGUAUCAAGCGAGGCUACCGUACAACUGAACCCAACAGAAAAUAAUAAAACUUUGCGACACGUCUUACUUGGUUACAAAUAAAAAGUCGCUUCUGUCAGGAAAUGACAAACAGCUUCAUACAAAGUUUGACGAAAAAGUCAAACGACACGCACUCUUCAUCAAGAAUUUAGUACGAACUUGGAGACACAAUGAACAUAUUUGAGUAUAGAAUUGGCUUUUUACUUCAAAGUAUUUCUCUAAACUUAUGAGGGAAAAUGGUUUGUCGCACUGGUGUGUUCUCUUUGAGGAGAGAGAAAUAAGAUCCUGAGAACGACUUAAGGUGGACAUCAGAGACCAGAGGACUCUCCAUUUUAAAAAUAUUAUGGAAGAUUAAUAAAGAAUGUUGAAUAAAAUGUUCAAAAUAAUUUAAAUCUAA